UUACUGAACGCCUUGGGGACACGUACAGUCAUCAAACAUCACAGUGCAUUGCGUCACACUAAACGCAAACAUUAAACUCCACGUAAAUCUCGUUCGCUGUAAGGGCGCACAUGAUUGGCUGGAUCAGGAGAGUAGGCGGUGCAUCUUCACCCUGAGGCAGCCACUGGAACGAGAGGUGAAUAGCAAGUGACCACUCGCAGUCAGUCGUUCCCGAGCCGCACAAGAGAAAGGUUGCGCUGCGCUGCUCAUCUGACCGACCUCUCGGGGUGACCAUGAGAAUCUCCAGGUGUGAGGCAGCGAGCGGCAGGACAGCAAGGCGGCGGUCACCUCUUCACCCCGCAGCCAUCCAAGUGAAAGUUGCUGCUGCCGCUGCCAUCUUCACCAGCACCAGCACCAAUCUACCUCUUCUUCUUCUCCCUUCUCCUUUCGCUUCCUCCUCCUCCAAUAACAAACAGACCAUCACACCAACGUCUCUCUCUCUCUCUCUCUCUCUCUCUCUCUCUCUCUCUCUCUCUCUCUCUCUACUCAACACUUACGUCUAAUAGACACACAAGUCAUAGAGUCUAAAAUUAUCUCUGGCAAGAAGUAGUCGUCUUCUCUUCCAUGACUAGUAGAUUCAGAAAAGUGACCUCUCUCUCUCUCUCUCUCUCUCUCUCUCUCUCUCUCUCUCUCUCUCUCUCUCUCUCUCUCUCUCUCUCUCUCUCUCUCUCUCUCUCUCUCUCUCUCUCUCUGAUCUCCAUUUUUUACGUUCUGUUCUUAUUCCUCCAACUGAGUCAAAUCUAGAUUGGUUAGGUUAGGUUAGGUUGGGUUGGGUCAAAUCCAUCCUUUUCCUGCAACAUGUAAUUAAAUUCUCUUUCAGACGAUGUGUAUUAAGUCUUGGGAGAUAUUGACUCUCUUUUCUAAUGCUUCAUCAAUAUAUAUGUUUUCCGCAUCAA